rnacentral:lncRNA from 1 species
NNNNNNNNNNNNNNNNNNNNNNNNNNNNNNNNNNNNNNNNNNNNNNNNNNNNNNNNNNNNNNNNCCCGGGACCCAGCCAGGGUCUCCUGUGAGCUGUGCAGAGCAGGAGCAGCCUGGCAGCUUCCUGCAGGGCAGCUCUGAGCAGCCGCGUCUGUUGGCCACGUGCCAGCACUGAGUGGAUCCCUCCUGGGCAGAUCCCAGACAGAUCACGUAGGGUGGUGGCUGGAUCCGGCAGGAAUCUCCCUAGCACCCUGCAGAGGGGAGCAGACUCGGCACCCGGCUGAAUGGGUGCUGCAAGGUGGCAGCACCCAGUGGCUCCCUCUGUGGGCAGAACCCCCAGGGCUGCGCCCAGGAUCCAGCAGGAUCCCGCUAGAGCUUUGCAGAGCAGGGAACAGACUUGGCACCUUCCUGCUGGGCUAGCUGGAGACGACAGCACCCACUGGCCGAGGGCCAGCACCAAGUGGAUCCCUCCGCAGGCAGCUUCUAGGAGAUGCCCUAGGGCUGGGCUGAGAUCCAGCAGGGAUCUCCCAGGAGAUCUGCAGAGUGGGGAGCAGACCUUCCAGCAAGGCUGCUCUGAGCCAGCAGUGCUCCCUGGCCGAGCAUCAUCACCAAGUGGAUCCCUCUCCAAGCAGAUCCUGGGCAGAUCACCCAGGGCUUGCAUCCAGCAGGGAUCUCCCUCGAGCUCUGCAAAGCGAGGAGCAGCCUUGGCACGUCUCUUUAGACUGCUCCAAGACAGCCGUGUCUGUUGGCUGACUGUCAGCAUCAGGCGGGAUCCCUCUCCAGGCAGAUUCUUGGGAGAUUGUCCAGAGCUGGGAUCCAGCAGGGAUCCCCCCACAGCUCUGCAGAGCAGAGAGCAGACUGGCCUGCUCCAAGGAAUCAGUGUCUGCUGGCCAAGCAUCAGCACUGAAUGGAUCCCUCUCCAGGCAGAUCCCAAGCAGAUUCCCCAGAGUUGGGCUGGGACCCAGCAAGGAUCCCCUAAGCUUUGCAGAACAGAAAGACUGCAUUGCUCUGAGACAGCAGCACUUGCUCCCCAUGUGUCAGCUCUAAGCAGAUCCCCCUCCAGGCAGACCCAAGGCAGAUCUCCCAGAGCUGGGCUGGGAUCCAGCAAGGAUCCCCUUAGAGCUUUGCAGAGCCAAGAUCAGACUAGGGUGCUCGGAGACAGCAGUGUCCGCUGGCUGGCCGGAUCCCUCUCCAAGCAGAUCCCCGAGGGCUGGGAUCGAGCAGGCAUUGACCAAGAGCUGUGCAGAGUCGGGAGCAGACUGGACUGCUCCAAAGGCAGCGCCUGCUGGCUGAGUGCCGUCUCCGAGCAGAUCCUCCUGCAGCAAUAUCCCAAGCAGAUCCCCAGGGCUGAGCCGGGAACCAGCAGGGAUCCCCCUAAAGUCCUGCAGAACGGAGGGCAGCCUGGGCUGCUCUGAGCCAGCGGGGAUCGCUGCCCAGGGGUCAGCUCUAAGCGGAUCCCUCUCCAGGCAGAUCCCGAGCAGAUCCCCCAGGGCUGGGCUGG